GAUCAUGGCUCAGGACGAACGCUGGCGGCGUGCCUAAUACAUGCAAGUAGAGCGCUGAAGGAGGAGCUUGCUUCUCCGGAUGAGUUGCGAACGGGUGAGUAACGCGUAGGUAACCUGCCUGGUAGCGGGGGAUAACUAUUGGAAACGAUAGCUAAUACCGCAUAACAGUAGAUAUUGCAUGAUAUCUGCUUGAAAGGUGCAAAUGCAUCACUACCAGAUGG
rnacentral:rRNA from 1 species